rnacentral:tRNA from 1 species
GGAGAGAUGGCCGAGUCGGUCGAAGGCGCUCGCCUGCUAAGCGAGUGUGUGAGGAAACUUGCACCGAGGGUUCGAAUCCCUCUCUCUCCG